rnacentral:pre_miRNA from 1 species
CAAAUGGGCCAUCGUAUUACUAUCAGUGCUGCUAGCAACUACAAGGCGGGCAUGAAGGUCGAUUUGAUCCGAUCGACCUUCAUGACCGCCUUGUAAUUGCCGGUAGCACUGAUUGUAAUGCGAUGGCUCAUUUG